GCUCGUGCACCGUAUAGUCCUCCAGCAGGUGCCGGGCGGCCCUCGAGUGCGAGAUCUCGUCGAAGGGCUUGUCCAGGCUCCUGUUCUCGUAAUGCCAGAGCGUCUUCCUGCCGCCAGGAUGGUAGUGCAGGAACUCGCGUAUGUCGUACGCCCGGUUCCGAUACUUCACCAGGAACGCGUCUUCGUCUCGUUUCUCCAUGGCGGCCGCGGUUCUCCAGGCGACGCACUCACUGUAUCCCGGAUCAGUGGCCGAUCGUUGUCAGAAGCGAAAUCGCGAUGGAACGUGCUAGCGAGUGCCUUUGAAACGGCGCUUUAACGUAGCCCGGCUUCGAAUCUGUUGAUAAGAUUUCUGCUGUGCGGCCGAGUACUAUGCGAAUGGUCGGACGGAUUGUAUCACCUUUCGCGUUAUCUACGGUGAUAAAUACGUGCCUAUACUCUGACGCCAUCCCCGAACCUAUUUCUCUCUCGUCACUUUCCUCCGAGCUCGUUCAUCGGGAAACCGUCGGGGAUCCUCCGUCCGACCGGACACUCGGGACCAUUCCCGUUCCUCUUUACGCCAUCCGGACACUGAACCUUUCCCGGCCCGCGUUCGCCGCGAAUAUUCUAUCGUGAUAGACAGCCGCGCGCCGUGUCGUACAAUGUUACGUAGCGGUGCCUCGCGGGCGACUCGCGUCGGCCGAAGAUAAGGGAAAUCGGGAUGACGAGGUGCCAGGGGACCCGGGGAACACCGUUCCGUCACCGGUUCGGAGCUCCGUAUUUGUGUUUGAUGAUCGGUACACCGGUAUUUGCCGAAGGAAGGGCCGCGCCGUUGGUCCUAACGUCCGUUCGCCAUGUUCCGUGAGCCCCGUGCCAGCCGCGCUUCACCGACGGGACAUCUAUCGCGACUGCCGAUUUAUCUCGGACCCCUUCUUCCGACGAAUGAUACGAGCAACAGGUGCUAACCGCUACCUUUGUCACCGAUAACGUCUGUUCUCCGUGUCACUUCCGCGUGUCGGACUUUCAAGGAUGCUCAUCGCGUUCGGAAAGCGUGGGACCGAUGGUUUUCGAGUAGAACCGUUGAACGAGUCCGUGACGCUAGGUUUCCUUCGUCCGAGAGCGGUGCACGUUCUUCGAAGCGGCUGGCUUCGAUCGGAAGGAUCGGUCGCCGAAAAGUCGAGGACCGAUAGCACCGCGCGCUUCGCAGCGGUAGAAUAUUCUACUGGAACACGACGGCGACGGAUGCGCUACGAAAACAAUAGCGCAACGAUUGCGUCGACGGUGUUAUUUAGACAAUUGGCGGUGCACGAGGACGCACGUGUCAGCGGCUGACCGUUGGACGCGUCUAGAGCGGGGUUCUUCGGUCGUCGAAGGAAAGGAUGAACGAAUCGAUGAGACGAGUAAUUUCCAGGUUCUCCGAUCGUCGAAGAAAAGAGAAUCGAGAAAAUAUCGAAAGAGAAAAGCGCAACGGUUUUAAUGUGAAGUUCGAGAACGCGGAAGACCGACUGAAACGCGUGAUUCGCACCGAGGGACAUGAAUGCAGACGGCACUCUUUCUCUAAAUAAGAACGAGGGAGACUGAUGUCGGCGCGGCUCGCUUCUUCGCGAGGGAGGAAGUCUAAUCUUGGCGCGGGUGCACGCGGCUCGAUUGCUUCGUGGAUAAUUACCCGCCUGGAUGUUCGUUUUGUCUAACACGUUUGCCACCGCCGUCUCUGCCAGCCGACGUUCCUCGCAAUUAACGGGCAUUCAACGAUUGCCAAGAAUCUUCCCUCGAAAGAACCCUAGCAAAAUAUGUAACAGAGCGGAGGCAUCGAUUUGUGGCGUAUCAAAACUUCAAUCCGUAAUGACAGUAAAUAACAAUAGCGCGCAACGUAACAGAGACCAUCGAUUCACGAUGAAAAUCAGACAAGCUUAUUGCUCGAGUAUCUUAAUUUAAGGAACAUUUCGAACUCGCGUUCUCUUAAUAUCGUAAAUACAACGUAGUCUCGCUAUAAUUUAGUAAUCAUUAAUAAUAUCUCUUAAACGUACACCGAUCAAUAUUCAAUCGCCGAGCGUCUUUUAUAAUAAAGUAUAUUAGCACGGGCUGGUAGCAAACGCGUUAGCCAAAAGAUCCGACAAGCGAACGAUCGAUCGGUUCUCCGGAUUGAAAAGAUAGAAAUCGUGGUUCUAAACGAACGAUCGUCGCGGAUCACGUUCAGGCCGGUCGGAAACGUUUCGUCUUAGAGUCGAGCGAACGAAUCGACGAGGCCGAGGCUCGGACACCUGUUCUCGACCGGCUCUCGAGCGACGCCGAACGUUCGCUGUUGGUCGUCUCUGAUCUUUCCCCUUCUCCCCGGUAUGUUCUAUGUUUCUUUAGUCGAUUUCUCUUCCUCUGAAUAUUUUACUCUUUUCGUUAAUUCGCCUCGCGCGGCUCUGAUCCCCGCCGCGGCGGUUUUUCGACGGAAGUUUAAAAGUAUUGCUUUCGGAGCGGAACACCGAUCGCCCCGUUCCUGGCGUGUCCGGCAACGGGCGCGCGGUGUUUCACGCGCUGUUCGAUUCUCGCCGGUCUCUCCUUGGCCCGGGAGAGCUGGAAGAGGCUGCGGACCCAGCGAGGCGACGGUCGGCUCAGAAGUCCAUCACCUCCAUCUUGAACGGCUUGCCCUGCAGCUUGUUGGGCACGAUCUUCGUGAUCGGGGGCGCGCUGUUGUUGUCGUCGUCGCUGUUUAUGUCCUCGUCCUCCUCGGGGAAGUCCUCGAGCCUGUCGUGAUACUCGUCCAGCUGGAAAACCAAGCUACAGGUCUAGGCGGAGUGUUAGAACGUUCCGGGGAACGAGGCUGAUCUAUGGCGAGUACUUUGGCAGUGAACAGAGAGCGGUGCCGGCGACGACGACCGCUCAGACGAAUCGUCUUCUUCAUUCUCAAGCGGAAAAAUGGUCUCUCGCGCGGGCGACGGCUAGUGCGAAGCACGCGCGCGCACAUAGAAGCUACAGCAUUCCGUAAUACGUAGUAUUCUACAGACUCACGUGUAAGGUAGCUACGGAAGAAGCGAUUAACCGACGUUACCGCACACCGAACGGACGGUUACCUAUAACUGCGGCUGUACUCGGGGCUGAAGGUCUUAGGCAGAUCGCUCUUACUUACUUAUUCAAGUAAAAUGCUGAUAGUUACUGAUACGAAGAGGCUUUAACAAUAGAUACUUUCUAGCCGAGUGUACAGCGAGCUUCAGCAAUCAUGACGCGAUAGUGUCUUUAUCUUGAAAAGAGAACAAUCAAGCUUAUUACACGGUUCCGUGAUAGACCACGCGAUUGCUGUAGUGGCGAUCGGUGAUGUCGAAGAAAUGGUGGAUCAUAGCAAGAACAAGGAAACAACGUGAAGAACAACGUGACACGAUUCCUCUACACAGACGGGUCGACCAGCGUACUCUGUACUCGUAGGGUCCCAUCGGUGGAUACACAGAAGCUACGAAAAUCGUCGAGGAUGGAAGCACAUCGAUGCUGGUGCGUGUACAGAUAUGUGUGCUCGAAGGCAACGAUGGAACGCGGUACCGAGCCCAGCGGAACCAUAAAUAGAAGCUCCGAUCGCUGGCCAACUUUUCAUGCGACGCAAACUUCUCUUCAAGGUUCCGUUCAAGUUCGACAGCUCGUCGCAUCGUUACGUCCAAGUGUGUACAAUGGAGUGAUCGGAGGAGCGCGUGGUUGAUGUCGGUGAAACGAGCGAAGCGGAAGUUUCAGCCUGGCUCCACUCACAUCGACGUCGCCCAUCAUUUCCUUGGUGGAGACCGUGGUGUCGAUGCGUCGUAUGCUUCCUUGAUGGAUGUCAACGUCCAGCUUGACGCACUGGAACCGCCUCAGGCAGAAAACGAUCGGUAUUGGCGCGAUGCCCGCGAAAAUGAUCACGACCGCUAUGGCCAGCACCCAGCCCGGAUAAUCGGUGGCCACCGCCAUCCCCUAAAAUAAACCACGUUUGAAGCGAUAGUCGUAAAUUCGAUGUUUCUCUAGCAGCGUCCAGGAUCGGCGAGGACGUUGAUAGCAUUUUAAGUCCCAUGUUCUUACCUGCGUGGCGUCCCACGCGGAAUACUGAGGCUUCUUGAUGAACAUGGAGGCUAUACUGGACACAAGAAUGCACACCAUGAUUAUGGGAGCUAGGAACCGCCAUGUCACCUGCCAGUACGUUCCCGUUUCUACUCGGUGGCUUUAUGGUAGAUGUUUGUAAUAGUGGACGAUACUUUUCAUGGCCGUAGAUGAAGACGACGGAAAGCAUUUCCAUGAGGGCGACCAUUACUAAACCAAUAGUGCCUGCGAAACUGUCGAACAUCUUCAGCCAGUACUCUCCGGCGCCGGUGCAGAAGAUCAAGCCGACGAAGAAGCAGACGAUACAGACAACGCCUGAGGAGGAGGACGAAGGUUUAGCGUGAAAUUUAAUUUCGUGAUGUAUGCUACAUGGAGAGCAAGUCGUACCUGUCAUGUACUGCUUCUUUAUUCUUUUGAAGAGGUCUAUGUCGAAGAUGACGCACAGCAUACCCUCCAGUAUACCGAUCUGGGAGCCCAGACCAAGAGCGAGGAGCAUCAUGAAGAAAAUGCAGGACCAAAAUGGCGCACCCGGCAGCUCGACUAUGGCCUGCGUGAACACUAUGAACGCCAGUCCUGUUCCUUCGGCGGCCUGGCGAUUCAUUCGUGGAUCAAGAGACGGAAACAAGGAUCACCGCCUGAUUAACACUAGACGCUAUCGAAUAGUCAUGCUCUGUCGUUCUCGGUUGUCAACGACCGAGGCUAGAGAAGCGUUGGAUCCUCACGUUGUCGAGCUGUUCGCUCAGGCUACACCUGCCGAGCGUUUGGUUCAGCGCGGACACGUUCAACUUAUUUACAACGUCUUCGUACUGGUCCAUGGUGAUGUUCAGGUGAGAGAUCAGUCCGUUUUCGAACAGUAUGUCUUUGUUGCUGCGAACGAAGCGAACGUAUCCGUUAACACGGCGGGGUCCGGCUGUGGUUUAGGGGGUCGGGGACCGUUAUGGUCCUCCGUUACCUGGCUAUGCACUUGUCGACGUUCGUCAUCGCCUUGAAGCCCAGUAUGGCGAAUAUCACGACGCUCGCGUAAAUCGCGGUGAACGCGUUACAAGUGCUGACCAGUAUCACGUCCCGGACGCAGUGGUUGUCCGGCGUGUUGUACGAACCGAACGCGAUCAGGCUGCCGAACGCUAGCCCGAAACUGUAAAAUACCUGCGUCGCAGCGUCGAGCCAGACCGUCGGCUCUAACAGUUUCUCGAUCUGAGGGAAACGAAUCAACGAUUCAGUGUACACCGGUCGAACCGAGGAGCUGAUACGAAUUAGAAGCGGAACUGUCGAUUACCUUUGGCGUGUACAUAUGGGCCAAUCCAGCGCUGGCACCUUUUAACGUUAUUCCACGAAUAAAAAAGAUAGUAAGCACCAAAUACGGGAACAUGGAUGUAAAAUAUACCACCUUUAAAUCAAGCAAAGAAAUAAGUCGUCGACACAGUAUCUGACUAUGGCCACGUUCACGUGGAGAAGAGUUAGUCUCAGGGAGAGGGUGUUGGCCUUUGGACGGGGGAUGGUUCAGAAAAAGCAAACGCGGGAAAAGAAAUACAGUAACGGAGAGAUAGAUAGAGAGAGAGAGAGAGAGAGAGACAGAGAGCAGAAUCCGCGUCUCUUUACCUUUCCCGACGAUUGUAUUCCCUUCAUCACGAUAAAGAAGACGAUGACCCAGCUCAACAGCAGACAGAGCACGAUCCACCACUUCAGGCUCUGACCGGCCUCGAUCGAGGGCGCCGCGUCCAGCGUUGUUCUGUACCAGAAGUAGGCGGUCUCUGAACUCUUCACGCACUCUUCGACCGGCUUACCGUCCACUUCCGGGCAUUUCGCCCAUGGCAAUGGAUCCUGCGGUGGAUUCGUUCGUGUUUCAGAUCUUUUAAUUGUCGAACGGUUAAUGCUAAGGCUCGAAGAGGAUUGUUAUAAUACUGUAAUCGAUACGACGUUGCAACUGCUCAGAAUGUGAAAGGUUUCUCGUUGCUUCUACAGUCUAUGAUCAAUGAUUACCACGAGGAAUGUUGAAAACUAGUGGCCUUGAGAGGUUUUGAGCAAGGCGAUUAGCUUCGCGAUUGACUCGUAUCUACGGUGAACAAGAGUUAGAGUGCAACGUCGUUUCUUCGUGAGAUCGUUCGGAGAAUCCGUAAAUAGUAUUUAUUAACAAUCUCGGAUGGAUUCGGGAUGUCCCGGAACAAGCAUUCCGCCGUUGGCUUAUUUCCAAUCAACGUCACGCGUUCGACGGUUUCACGAGUUUCGAGCACACGACUCUUUCCGGGACAUCCGGCCAUGGCAUUCCCAACUGAAACAUGCUUCGCAGAAUUGUCUGCGUCGUACAAACUCUACGUGACAUGCGGUCGCAUGCGGAUAACGAGCUGCGUAGCAUAUGUAAUCGUGCGGGCAACUUACGCCGAAUUUAAUCGUGACGGCCUAAUCCAACGGGCAGCGUGAAACACAAAUCGUAUAUGUUAGUCGCACGCUCGUCGUUCGGUGUCUCUGGAUCUGAUCUUUUAUUCGACGGAAUAAUGCGGUCGGAUCGAUCGGGUGUUAAAAGGAAAGAUAUACGAUGUGAGAAAUGACACGGGGUAUGGGUAAAGUAAGGUGUACAACUAACAAAAUGUCGAAUUGACAAGGUAUUAAUGUAACAAAGUAGAGAAUUAAUGGAACAUUAAGGUGACAAAGGGACGAAUGAAUAAAACAUCGAAAUAACAGAAUGAAACGGUGAAACGAACAGCUCGGAGCAACGAUAUUCACCUCGAGCGAGUUGAACAGGUAAUAGAAGCACCAAGUGAUGAUCACGUUGUAAUAGAGCGCUACGAAGAAGGUGACGAUACACGAGGCGAUCCCUAUGCCGCCCAGCCAAGGGUGUAUCGUGUUCCAGACGCCGAGGGCACCCUGACGCAUACGUUGACCGAGACCCAGCUCGAUCAGAAAUAGGGGCACGCCCUCCAGGAUUAGCAUCACGAAAAAAGGGAUAAGAAAGGCACCUG